UUGUCUCAAAGAUUAAGCCAUGCAUGUCUCAGUACAAACUAAAUUAAAGUGAAACCGCGAAAGGCUCAUUAAAUCAGUUAUGGUUCCUUAGAUCGUACCACAUCUCUACUUGGAUAACUGUGGUAAUUCUAGAGCUAAUACAUGCAAACAGAGUUCUAACCGGAGACGGGAGGAAUGCUUUUAUUAGAACAAAACUAAUUGUGUCAUCCCUUAUGGCUCCAUAUGAUUCUGUAUCUUUGCAUACGUUCAUAUGUCCUGGGUGUAUGUACACAUUAAAUAUAAUUGGUGAAUCUGAAUAACUUGCUGAUCGCAUGGUCUUGUACCGGCGACGCAUCUUUCAAAUGUCUGCCUUAUCAACUUUCGAUGGUAGGAUCUGCGCCUACCAUGGUUGUAACGG
rnacentral:rRNA from 1 species